CUAGAACCUGGUGUGCCGGCGCCUCAGGCAGAGGAUUAGCCUAUUGAGCCACAGCGACGGCCUCUAAUUGCUUUUAAGAUUCUCUUUUUAAUUAGUAUUUUUAUUUUGUUAAUUAAUUUAAAAGGGAGGGGAAAGAGAUAGUUCAACUUUUUUUUUCUUUCUGUUUAAUUUUGGGUAGUUUCUAUACUAUGUCUUCAUGUUUACUAAUCUUUUUUCUACAAUGACUCAUCUACUGUUAGCCUUUUCUAGCAUUUGUUUAAUUUGGGACAUUGUGGUUUUCACCUCCAAAACUUCAACUUGGGUCUUUUAAAAAUUCCUUCCAUGCCUAUAAUUUUAUUUUGUAGCAUAUGAACUCUAACUAUGUUUGUUUUGAUCUUCUUGUCUACACAUUUCAACAUCUGUGUCAGUUCCUGGCAGAUUUCAAUUGAUUAAUGUUAUCUCCUCAUUAAGAACAGCAUUUUCUCUUAUUUUUUUUAAGAUUUAUUUAUUUAUUUAUUUGAAAGAGUUACACAUAGAGAGAGAGAGAGAAAGAGAGAGAGGUCUGGUUCACUCCCUAAUUGGCUGCAAUGGUCAGAGCCUCGCUGGUCCGAAGCCAGGAGCCAGGAGCUUCUUCCGGGUCUCCCACAUGGGUGCAGGGGCCCAAGGACUUGGGCCAUCUUCUAUUGCUUUCCCAGGCCACAGCAGAGAACUGGAGCAGCCAGGACUCAAACCGGCGCCCACAUGGGAUGCCUGCACUGCGCCACAGCACCGGCCCCAGGAACAGCAUUUUCUUGCUUAUUUCCAUGACUGGUAGCUGAGUCCAAGGGUGCUGAACCCAAAGGUGCAGGACUCAAAAGGAUUGAUAGUAGGAACUUUAACAGAUACCUGUGCACCCACGUUCAGCACAGCAGUGUUCACAACAGCCAAACAAAGCAAAUGUCCAGCAACAGAGAGUGGAUGUUUAAAAGGUGGUGUAUUUGGAAAAUGGAAUAUUCGGCUGUGAAAAUGAAUGAUGUUCUGAUACACGCCACAGUGUGAAUGAACUCUGGAAGCAUGCUUAGUGGAAUAAGUUAGACACCAAAAAGCAAAUGCUGUGUGAUUCCAUUUGUAUGAGGGACAUUGAAUAGGCAAAUCAGUACGAGUGAAAAGUAGGACAGAGCUUACCAAGGGCUGGAAGAAGGUGGAGAAUGGGGAGUUAUUGCUUAAUGGAUAGAUUAGAAAGUUCUUGAAAUGGAUAAUGAUGAUGGUUGUACAUCAUAGCAAAUGUACUUAAUGCCACUGAAUUGUAUGCCUAAAAAGAAUUAAAAUAAUACACUUUUGUUAUGCCUAUUUUACUGCAAAAAAAAAAGACAUAAAAUACUGUGUCAGAUGUUUUCCUGUUCUUAAGCUGUGUUAAGCAGAUUCAGAACAGCCUAGAGCUAACUUCAAUGCUAAGGCAAUAGCCUUUUGGGUUUCUACCUGCUGCCCCAUGAGUUAUGAGGCCUUCUCAUUCUAGCCAGUGAGAACACAAAUUCUCCCCAGCCUCGCUGAGUUUCAAGAACGUUCUGCCUACGUCUUUCUGGUGACCAAUUCUCUGGUCUCAGGAAAUUGCCUGUGCGUGUGUUGAUAGUACCUAGCCAAAGAUUUGAGAGCACCUAUCUGUAGGUCUCUGCAGAGCCUUCCUCUCUGACACCUGGCCCUGCACAUCCCAGCCACCCUGCUCUGUCUCCUGCGCUCAGGGAGACGGGUGGCCUCUGGGCUGUUGCCUGGUAACCAUCUCCAGGUUGCAAGCCGGUUGCAUGGUGAGGCUCCCCCUGUCUCCAGGAUAGCAGCCCUGCGCCGGCUCUUGUACAAUGCCUGCGUCACGGCGGCCCUCGGGUCUCUGGAGCUCUUUCUGUCUGUAGCUCUCUCUACGAAGCACUGUGUCUAGAUAAUGCUGGCCACCUGUGACUCCCUGGCACUUGGUCUCUGUCUCUUCACGUCCAGGAGCCUUCUGCACUCUGCGCGGACUGUCCCUCUCUCCGCUGCGCAGAAAGCAGUGUGGGGCUCCUGGUUCUCCCCUGGCUCAGGUUGGCCUUCUGGAAACCACUGCUCUGCAUAUUUUAUAUGGCUCACUCACUGUCGAGGGCAGGGCACCCUCGUACUCGUUCUGCUGUCUGCC